rnacentral:rRNA from 1 species
UACAGAGGGUGCUAGCGUUAAUCGGAUUUACUGGGCGUAAAGCGUGCGUAGGCGGUUUGAUAAGUCGAUUGUGAAAGCCCCGGGCUUAACCUGGGAAUUGCGGUCGAUACUGUCAGACUCGAAAACGGUAGAGGGAGGCGGAACUCCAGGUGUAGCGGUGAAAUGCGUAGAUAUCUGGAAGAACACCGAUGGCGAAGGCAACCUCCUGGGCCUGUUUUGACGCUGAGGCACGAAAGCGUGGGUAGCAAACAGG